AUAAAGUUGACUCAGGUUUGCCCAUAUGAUGUGACAGGAUAACCUGAAUGAACUUUUUGG
ensembl:miRNA